AAAAGAUAGGUGCCUUGUGGUCGGGAUAACACGACUAAGAAGGCAUGUAAUUUUGUGCACCACAUCCUUAUCAAUUACAACAUUUGAACAAGUCUUCAAGAGUUCCAUAGCAAGUGUUGAGAGGAAUUGCACCUUAACCCACCUCAUGGCUUUUCAUUUCAUGUGUUUAUCCAACUAUGUGCUUAUUCCCCUGUGACAAAUUUAAUCCUAAAUAUCUUCUUAUUUCCUUAUUUUUUUGUUUCAAUUUCUUUAUUAUCGUGACCAAUUUCUUACUUCAUCAAUUUUGUUCGUCACAUAGUCAUAUCAUAUUCAGUAGUGCAGCAACCAGCUAGUAUUAACUAUUCACCCCCUUUAAGAUAGACAGGAUUGGAACUAAGGAAAUAAACACAUAGCUGAGGAGCCAUUUAUUCUUAUCAAAGCUUUUGUAGGAAGAGAAUAAGAGAAAGCCUUAAAUAUAUCAUUGCAAUGGAGAAGGGUGGCAAUGAAGACCAGGCCUCAACGCUCAACAAAUAUGCCUUAGGAUGCGUCAUAGUGGCUUCAAUGGUAGCCAUCAUAUCCGGUUAUGGUAAUUAAUAUUGCAAUCUCUUUCCCCCUUUUCUUUCUCUAUCUUUUUUUAUUUCUCCAAUAUUUUCCAACUGUGUCAAUAUUUUGUUGUCUCUGCAACACUAUGCUAUACAUGUAUUUUGUUAUCCAAUAUAAUGUUUAAUUUCCAAUCAAAAUACUCCCUCCCUCCGGUCCUUUUUAUAAGAAAAAUUUGGACAAAAUCACACAAACCAAAGAAACUAAUAUUUUUUUAUAAAAUUAACUACUAUGCUUAAUUCCAAUGAUGUUUUUUCCUUUUUACAAGAACAACCAUUACUAAUUACCAUAAAUGUUGAUCAUACCUAUUGGGUGCUUGCAAUUUCCUUCCAUAUUUUUGUAUUGGGAAUAAGUCCCUUUGCAUUGAUAUUGAUUAUUUGACUUAAUUUUAUAAUAGUGUUUCUUAUAAAAAGGAACAAGAAAAAUCUCCAAAGUGUUUCUUAUAAAAAGGACUUUAGGGAGUAACUUGUAAUUUAGAAAAAUACACACCUUGUAAAUACCGUUAACUCGAUAUACAUGUAUGAUUUUAGAUACUGGUGUUA
rnacentral:lncRNA from 1 species